UAUAGCAUUAACUGAGGACAUUAAUGAAAUUGCGUUUGUUGCGCAGAAUACAUGAUAAUUUUGAUCUUCAAUUGCUUCCAGUUUGGGAUAUUUGUGACUUAUUUAUCCUCCAUAUCACCAUUCUAAGUUCUAAUAAAAAAAUCUUAUGACACAAUAAUAUUGCAUAACAUCAAAUUUCAAUCAGAAAAUAAUUUUUGGUGGAAAAUAGGUAGAAUUACUGCUGUAUAAUUAGGUAUUAAUUAGCUUAAUGACUCAAAGUUCAAUAAUUUAUUUAAGUAAAAUAAAAGCAACAUUUAGACCAAGCAAAUAUGUUAUUUUAUUAAAUAUAGGAUGCUAGACAAAAAAAUUGACAGCUUUUGAAGUUCUGCUCAAGAAAAACUUGGUAGAUGCAGAAGUGCCCAUGAACUUCUAAUUUCAUUUUAUUAUAUUGUAUUUGUUUAUUUGUCUAUUUGUAUUUCUUGGUAGAUGCCUCUUUGUAUUUCUUUGAUGGUAAGCAAAUGUCCAAAUGCAUGUCUAUUUAUUCAUUAGAAAUAAUUUUUUUAGUGUAUUCCUGUCCUUAGUUGGCUGAUAUUGCUUCUUAGGCUACAUUUGAA
rnacentral:misc_RNA from 1 species